GGCAGUGCUGCACAGUGUGACUGAUAUUCAGUGUCUCCACCCUCUGCAUGGAGACACUGAACUUUCCUCAUAGAGAUUAAUUGAUUUACUGUAUCUCUAUAAGAAUAUGCUGAUUGGCCAGGGUGGUGUUUGGCUCUGCUCCUGGUCCGCUUCCUUGGCUGAGAUAAUCAGAAUAGACAAUCUCAGCCAAUCCAAUGCUUCC